GACGAACGCUGGCGGCGUGCUUAACACAUGCAAGUCGAACGGAAAGGCCCUGCUUUUGUGGGGUGCUCGAGUGGCGAACGGGUGAGUAACACGUGAGUAACCUGCCCUUGACUUUGGGAUAACUUCAGGAAACUGGGGCUAAUACCGGAUAGGAGCUCCUGCUGCAUGGUGGGGGUUGGAAAGUUUCGGCGGUUGGGGAUGGACUCGCGGCUUAUCAGCUUGUUGGUGGGGUAGUGGCUUACCAAGGCUUUGACGGGUAGCCGGCCUGAGAGGGUGACCGGCCACAUUGGGACUGAGAUACGGCCCAGACUCCUACGGGAGGCAGCAGGGGGGAAUAUUGCACAAUGGGCGGAAGCCGGAUGCAGCAACGCCGCGUGCGGGAUGACGGCCUUCGGGGUGUAAACCGCUUUCGCCUGUGACGAAGCGUGAGUGACGGUAAUGGGUAAAGAAGCACCGGCUAACUACGUG
rnacentral:rRNA from 1 species